GAUGGGUGGAUCAGAAAAGUAAUUAAGUCUCCAAACAGAACAUGAUGCUAAAUGCCUCAUAGGCAUAAAUUUCAAAGAGGGUACCAAAUUAUUCAAAUUACUAAAUAUUAGUAUUCUUGAUCGUCUAUAAUCAUCUUUGUCAACACCUAACAGACGCAGAAGGCCACAAAAAAGUUGUGAAUUUUUCUGACCAAUCUAGCCUUUUAUCAUUUCAUUAAAACAAAUAAUAAACCCCCUAUAAUCAAUUUUAAGUACAGCAAAAUAACCUUUAACCAAACACAGGCAUCCCAUAAUAGAACACUUGUAAUACCCAAUGGGCUCUUAUCCUUACCUGUGCCUGUGGUGCAAUCCUCAUAGCAGUGACUGCAGUGUUAUGAUAAAAGCAUAACCACACAAUACAUGACUUCACAUGUAUGGUGCAAGCAUGCAACAAUAUUA
rnacentral:lncRNA from 1 species